UACGAAGGGGGCUAGCGUUGCUCGGAAUCACUGGGCGUAAAGCGCACGUAGGCGGAUUGUUAAGUCAGGGGUGAAAUCCUGGAGCUCAACUCCAGAACUGCCUUUGAUACUGGCGAUCUUGAGUCCGGGAGAGGUGAGUGGAACUCCGAGUGUAGAGGUGAAAUUCGUAGAUAUUCGGAAGAACACCAGUGGCGAAGGCGGACUCACUGGCUCGGUACUGACGCUGAUGUGCGAAAGCGUGGGGAGCAAACAGGG
rnacentral:rRNA from 1 species